GCAUAUCAAUAAGCGGAGGAAAAAGAAACUAACCAAGGGAUUCCCCUAGUAACUGCGAGUGAAGCGGGAAAAGCUCAAAAUUUAAAAUCUGGCGGUCUUUGGCUGUCCGAGUUGUAGUCUGGAGAAGCGUUUUCCGCGCUGGACCGUGUACAAGUCCCUUGGAAUAGGGCGUCAUAGAGAGGUGAGAAUCCCGUCUUUGACACGGACUACCAGUGCUUUGUGAUGCGCUCUCAAAGAGUCGAGUUGUUUGGGAAUGCAGCUCAAAAUGGGUGGUAAAUUCCAUCUAAAGCUAAAUAUUGGCGAGAGACCGAUAGCGAACAAGUACCGUGAGGGAAAGAUGAAAAGCACUUUGGAAAGAGAGUUAAACAGUACGUGAAAUUGCUAAAAGGGAAACGCUUGAAGUCAGUCGCGUUAUGCAGAACUCAGCCUGGCUUUUGCUUGGUGUAUUUUCUGUAUGACGGGCCAGCAUCAAUUUUGGCCGCUGGAAAAAGGCCUCAGAAAUGUGGCACCUUCGGGUGUGUUAUAGUCUGAGGUCAUAUACAGCGGCUGGGAUUGAGGUCUGCAGCACGCCUUUAUGGCUGGGGUUCGCCCACAUUCGUGCUUAGGAUGCUGGCGUAAUGGCUUUAAACGACCCGUCUUGAAACACGGACCAAGGAGUCUAACAUGCCUGCGAGUGUUUGGGUGGAAAACCCGAGCGCGCAAUGAAAGUGAAAGUUGAGAUCCCUGUCGUGGGGAGCAUCGACGCCCGGACCAGACCUUUUGUGACGGAUCUGCGGUAGAGCAUGUAUGUUGGGACCCGAAAGAUGGUGAACUAUGCCUGAAUAGGGUGAAGCCAGAGGAAACUCUGGUGGAGGCUCGUAGCGAUUCUGACGUGCAAAUCGAUCGUCAAAUUUGGGUAUAGGGGCGAAAAGACUAAUCGAACCCAUCUAGUAGCUGGGUUCCUGCCGAAG
rnacentral:rRNA from 1 species